GACGAACGCUGGCGGCGUGCUUAACACAUGCAAGUCGAACGGAAAGGCCCUGCUUUUGUGGGGUGCUCGAGUGGCGAACGGGUGAGUAACACGUGAGUAACCUGCCCUUGACUUUGGGAUAACUUCAGGAAACUGGGGCUAAUACCGGAUAGGAGCUCCUGCUGCAUGGUGGGGGUUGGAAAGUUUCGGCGGUGGGGGAUGGACUCGCGGCUUAUCAGCUUGUUGGUGGGGUAGUGGCUUACCAAGGCUUUGACGGGUAGCCGGCCUGAGAGGGUGACCGGCCACAUUGGGACUGAGAUACGGCCCAGACUCCUACGGGAGGCAGCAGUGGGGAGUAUUGCACAAUGGGCGGAAGCCUGAUGCAGCAACGCCGCGUGCGGGAUGACGGCCUUCGGGUUGUAAACCGCUUUCGCCUGUGACGAAGCGUGAGUGACGGUAAUGGGUAAAGAAGCACCGGCUAACUACGUG
rnacentral:rRNA from 1 species